rnacentral:piRNA from 1 species
UGCUGUAUGUCUUUGUGCGUUUGUGUGUGU